rnacentral:rRNA from 1 species
UACGGAGGGUGCGAGCGUUGUCCGGAAUCACUGGGCGUAAAGGGCGCGUAGGCGGCAUGCCAAGCGUGUGGUGAAAGCCCGGGGCUCAACUGGGGAGGGUCACGCGAUACUGAUCGACUCGAAGGCAGGAGAGGGUAGUGGAAUUCCCGGUGUAGUGGUGAAAUGCGUAGAUAUCGGGAGGAACACCAGUGGCGAAGGCGACCACCUGGCCUGUUCUUGACGCUGAGGCGCGAAAGCUAGGGGAGCAAACGGG